AAUGUAUAAUUAAGAAAUGCAGAUUAGUAGUUAGUCAUCUAUAGUAACCAAAUUUAUAGCUAUAUUAGGUAUGUUUUCAAGGUUAAACAGAUAUAUUUUAGAUAGGUGACCUUCAAAUGCUUCAGAAACCUACAGAUAUGGCAUUUAAGAUGUUUACUAACCUAAGGCUUUUCAUGACAGUGAGACAUGUCUACUCCUGGCAGCACCAAUCUAUUUCAUAAAAGAAUGAUGGGCAUCAAAGAACCUCCAUACAGAGUUUGCUUUCAUUGUGGCAAAGCUAGCCAUUUGGGCAAGAAACUGUCUUUGCUUCGACAGCUGACCAUCCAAACUGGACAUGCAGGACACAAAGGAAAGAGACUGCCCAACUUUGUCAGGACAAGAUCCAGAACACCAGGGCCAGUCUUGGAGAGGAACCUUUCAAAGCUGCAAAUUCAACUUCUUUUUUAACAAGUUGAACAUCUCAGUUACUCCGUGUGUACCACAUGACUCCUUGGUUUCAUUGAUUACAUCAUCAGAGCAGCACAUCCUCUGACACUGGCACAGAAUGGUCCUCAGACUAAAGAAAGCAAACGUGUAUAUGGCCAGUUACAUCUUCUCAGAGACUGGACAGAACAAAAGCCCUGUGUGGUGGAUGGUAGAGACAACAAAGGGAUUUCUGUCUCCAUUCCAGGGGAGGUAAUUACGUAGCAUUCCUAAAACCAAAGAUUUUGUUCCUGUAUUUUUUUUUUUUUUAAAAUCAGGGUGCUAACCCAUCUGGCUACAUGGACAGAAGGAGCUUAUUCUCGCUGCACUUGCAUCUCGCUUGCUGCCGGAGCCUAGCCCUGGAGGAGGGUGUGGGCCCGGGGCCCAGUUCUGCUAGCUGUCGAAGUGUGUGUUCUCGCACCAAAGGUGGUGCUUUCCUGUUUCUCCCCAGAGUCGUGGUUCUGUGGUUUUCUAAGCAACCAUUGAAGCCUGCUGUUUCAAGAACUGAGUUUCAACAACAAGUGGGUGUUGCAAAGAAAGCAACAUAGAUUCUAGAUGAGCGUGGAGUGACAAAUCUACCCGUAGAGUUUCUCUAUUCAUAUGUGAAAAAUGGAAAGCGACGAAAGUCUCCAGUGCCUCAAAGAAAUCUAUUAUCUAUCUAUCUAUCUAUCUAUCUAUCUAUCUAUCUAUCUAUCUAUCUAUCUAUCUAUCUAUCUAUCU